CCCUUAGAUGUUCUGGGCCGCACGCGCGCUACACUGAUGCAUUCAACGAGCCUAUCCUUGACCGACAGGUCCGGGUAAUCUUUGAAUCUGCAUCGUGACGGGGAUAGAUUAUUGCAAUUAUUAAUCUUCAACGAGGAAUGCCUAGUAGGCGCAAGUCAUCAGCUUGCGUCGAUUACGUCCCUGCCCUUUGUACACACCGCCCGUCGCCCCUACCGAUUGGGUGUGCUGGUGAAAUGUUCGGAUCGGCCGUUUGUCGCGGUUUCCGCGUCAUGUGGCUGAGAAGUUCAUUAAACCCUCCCACCUAGAGGAAGGAGAAGUCGUAACA
rnacentral:rRNA from 1 species